CCCCCGGCGGUCCUCGCCCCAACGAGGCUCCUGCUUAUGGUCGCGGCGGGCUUGCUCCGGCGUCUGCUCGCCCUUGACCUCUAGGAUGGAGGAAGCCGAGCUGGUGAAGGAGAGACUCCAGGCCAUCACGGAUAAAAGAAAAAUACAGGAAGAAAUCUCACAGAAACGUCUGAAAAUCGAGGAAGAAAAACUAAAUCACCAGCAUUUGAAGAAAAAGGCCUUGAGGGAGAAAUGGCUUCUAGAUGGAGUCACCAGUGGAAAAGAACAAGAAGAGAUGAAGAAGCAAAAUCAGCAAGAUCAGCAUCAGAUUCGAGUCCUAGAGCAAAGUAUCCUCAGACUUGAGAAAGAAAUUCAAGACCUUGAAAGGGCUGAACUGCAAAUCUCAACCAAUGAGGAGGCAAUUUUAAAGAAACUAAAGUCAGUUGAGAGGACAACAGAAGACAUAAUAAAGUCUGUGAAGGUGGAAAAGGAAGAAACACCAGGAGUGUCCAUUGAAGACAUCUAUGCUAAUAUUCCUGACCUUCCAAAAUCCUACAUACCUUCCAGAUUAAGGAAGGAAAGAAAUGAAGGAACAGAAGACGAUGAACAAAACAGAAAAGCUCUGUAUGCAAUGGAAAUUAAAGUUAAAAAAGACCUGAAAACUGGAGAAAGUACAGUCUUGUCGUCAAUACCUCUCCCAUCAGAUGACUUCAAAGGUACAGGAAUUAAAGUGUAUGAUGAUGGACAGAAGUCAGUAUAUGAAGUAGGCUCCGGUCCCACUGAGGCACACAAUGGCACAGAUGGCUUGGCACCUGUGGAAGUAGAGGAACUCUUAAGACAAGCAUCAGAGAGAAACUCUAAAUGCCCAACUGAGUACCAUGAGCCUGUAUACGCCAAUCCAUUUUACAGGCCUACAACGCCACAGAGAGAGAAGUUAACCCCUGAACCGAAUUUUCAAGACCGGAUAAAGGUGAAAGCUAAUGGAUUAAGAAAUGAUAUGAAUGAAUCCGUACAUAAUAUGGACAACGGACAUGGUGAGGAGAGGGCCAACAGCUUCAAUCAUGUCAGCCCUGGACGGCCAGUACCUCACCCCCGUUCAAUAAUUCAGCCAACCAAGGAGACAUCCCAAGCCCUUCCAAAGAAGCCAAUAAAUCCCCAGGAAGAACCAAGUAUGACUUGGGGCAAGCCUGUGUCUUCUCCAAAAGCAAGACUAAGUCCCAGGGAAGCACCCGUUGGGAAGUCAGGAUACCAGGAAGCGUAUCCUACUGGCCAGGAGGAGGAGGAAGAUGUCAGGUAUAACAUCAUGCAUGCCUUGCCCCCUGACAUGAACAGUACAGAACCUGUGACCAUGAUCUUCAUGGGGUAUCAGCAGGCAGAAGACAAUGAAGAAGAGAAGAAGCUCCUGACAGGAUAUGACGGGGUUAUCCACGCUGAGCUGGUCGUGAUUGACGAUGAGGAGGAAGGUAGGGAAGAUGCUGAGGAACCAUCCUACCACCCUGUCGCUCCCUACAGUCAGGUCUACAAACCUCCCAAACCAACACCACUUCCCCGAAAGAGAGCUGAAAUUAAACCCCAGGAGAACACCAACAACAGAUCUCCUCACAAAAAUUCCAUAUCCCUGAAAGAGCAAGAAGAAAGCUUGGGCAGAUCUGCUCGCCAUUCUCCCACUCACAUUCAGAUCCCGGGAGAUGGGACUGAGGACCCAUCCUUAACAGAAAUUGGUUCCUAGUUCUCAACCUGCUUCUGCUCUAAGUUAACCAUAGCUUAUUAUUUCUACUGUCUUUUUGUGCUACUAAACAAUGCUUACAUUGUCGGAAAAAAUCAUCUGAGCUUUAAGAAUGAGGAUGGCAAAGCUGGGAAAAAAAGUUAUCUGAGACGUGUACCAUCUAUCUUAACAUCCUCUGGAGAAGAAACUAACAACUUUUACAAAUAUCUUUUCUGGAUAUUUUUUUCUUGCUGAAUUCCAAAAAAAUGUAUAAUUAUAUUAAGCCAUGUGAAUAAGCAGUAGUCAUUAUUUGUGAAAAUUUUGAAAGGGCAGGGGAGAAUAACCAUGUAACUUUCCCGUUUACUUGACAUGAUUCAGUAGGGGUGGGUGGGGACCAGCAUAUUUUUAUUGUAUCGAUGCCAAAGCAUUUCUUAUAAGAGCUUGUAAACUUUAAGAAUAAAGUUAU